UUUUAAAUCACAUUUUCAUAUUUGACUUAAUGUGUAGUGUCCAUCUCCAUUCAGUCCCUUAGUAGAUCAAGAAUGUCAUGCUAUAGAAUGUACCUCUUUUUUUAUUGGAGAAGAUGAUUCUGUUUCCAUUUUGAUAUCAGGUUCAUAAGCAGGGUGUUGCACUUGGAAGAUCUGUUGACUUGACAAAGUUUGAUGGUUAUGACCAAUUGAUCGAGGAGUAAGAUCAGUUAUUUGAAUUCAAAGGAGAAUUGAUGGCUCCAAAUAAAAAUUGGAUGAUUGUAUUUACUGAUAAUGAGGAUGAUAUGAUGCUUGUUGGAGAUGACCCUUGGCAGGAAUUUUGUGCUAUGGUCCGUCAGAUUUUUAUAUACACAAAAGAGGAGGUCCAAAAGAUGGAUUCAAGUACCUUGAACCCAAAAAAUGAAGAUUGUCCUGAUAUGAAAGAGAAUGUCAAGGAAACAAAAGGCAGUCAAUCUGCAUCAUCAUCUAAUUCAAAAAACUCAUAGGCUUAUCCUGCAAUGAUCUUGAAGCACAAACAAAGUGAUUGUUUGUGUUUUAUCUAAGUGAUUGUUUGAACAGUUUUAUAGCAUGCAUCUUGACAAUUAAUAUAAUUUUGAAGAUCACUAUCAAGGAAGAAUGUUCAAAGGAAAGUAAAGGCUAAGGAGAAGAUCACGUAAUUAACUACACGGGUCUAGUGAAAAUACUGAAGAAGUAUGACAAGAGAACAGGAGCACUUAUCAGGCAGCCCUUCAUCGAAAAGGUACUGCAGCAGCCAUUCUUUACAACUGAUCUCCUAUACAAACUCGUGAAGGAGUGUGUGGCUAUGCUCGACCACCUCUUCCCCAGUAAUAACCUGUCAAUUUCAGCAGAAUGCGACGGACAAAAUGGAGUGCCAAAGCCGGCAUAAUCAGGUGGGAGGGUUCCGGAGUUGGAGGA